rnacentral:rRNA from 1 species
CGCCAGGCUAACUCUGUGCCAGCAGCCGCGGUAAUACAGAGGGUGCGAGCGUUAAUCGGAUUUACUGGGCGUAAAGCGUGCGUAGGCGGCUUUUUAAGUCGGAUGUGAAACCCCGAGCUUAACUUGGGAAUUGCAUUCGAUACUGGGAAGCUAGAGUAUGGGAGAGGAUGGUAGAAUUCCAGGUGUAGCGGUGAAAUGCGUAGAGAUCUGGAGGAAUACCGAUGGCGAAGGCAGCCAUCUGGCCUAAUACUGACGCUGAGGUACGAAAGCAUGGGGAGCAAACAGGAUUAGAUACCCUGGUAGUCCAUGCCGUAAACGAUGUCUACUAGCCGUUGGGGCCUUUGAGGCUUUAGUGGCGCAGCUAACGCGAUAAGUAGACCGCCUGGGGAGUACGGUCGCAAGACUAAAACUCACAUGAAUUGACGGGGGCCCGCACAAGCGGUGGAGCAUGUGGUUUAAUUCGAUGCAACGCGAAGAAGCU